CUGCUGUCUCUCCUCUUCCAGCUGGAGUUGCACACACUAUCGGUUCUGUGUCACAGAGCACACACAUCUAUCCUUGUCAGUCCCGGGUUGAAAGUGCAGCUGAGCCCUCUCCUGUUUAAGCUUCAACCCGUCCAUGGUGCCCUGGGGGACUUCCGGUGGUCUGAGGUCUCCUUCCUCCUCACCCAGCACUCUGGGUGGCUGUGCUGGUCCUACACUCUGUGCAGAGCUCAUCCGGGACCCCACACUUUCUCAUGCAGUUCUGCCCCUUGACUGACUACUGGCUCCUCUUGUCCUGACAACCAAUUGUCCUUCCAGGCAUGACUGUAACAUUCCUUUCUCUGUCUGCCCGAGUGUCAGCCGCUCUCAUCUGGGAGUUUUUGGGCGCCCUACAUCUUCCUGCUGCCCACCUUUGCCCCCCUCUUCUUCCCAGGCUGUGGCUGCUGGGCACGAGUCUGGACCCCUGAGCGUCGCCAAGUCCCAGGAAGUGUGCAGCCUGCUCUCUCCUCACAGAAGCCUGCCAGCCACGAGUUGAGGGGCAGAGGCUGCCUCCUGGAUUUGAGGCCUCAGCACUGCAGGCUAGCAAUGAACUCAGUAUUCACCUGGUCUCUUGGAGCCGUAAGUGCCCCACAGGGCAGGUCCUGUUGUCCGCACCCCUCUCUAUACCACCCAAAUGGAGGGGCCAGCCUGAGAACUGGAUGUGUUUCUGAUUUCAUCUCAGUUCUGCUGCAGUUCUUUGAGAGGACACGGCACACAUGGGACCUGUGGACACGGGUGGCCACUCUGCUGCCGGUUGGCCAAAACCCAAAUGCUGGACUGCCCAGCACUGGAAGAGGCUUCCAGACAGCAGGCUGCAGCGCACUGAAUGGAUCCACCUGUUUAGUUUGUGAGAUCAAGGAGUAGGAAGGUUCUGAAGGAGUGCUCGACAGACGUCUCACUAAGCCCUGCACCUGGCUCUGGGGAUACUGCAUUCCAGGCUCUCCCAGCUCAAGACUGACUGACAAAUCCUUGGGACUGGCCCUGUGUCCCUUACCGCUUGAGCCCCUGUGCCCAGAAACCCCAGCACAAUGGGUCCUUCCAAAGUGGUCGCAGAGUCAGAGUUAACCGUGUCUGUCACUUCAGUGUCAAGUUGACCCUGUCUAGCAACCUCCACCCCUCUGGUGGUUCCACCACCCCACGUGGGGUCACCGACACAGAGCCCGACGUCCCUUUGGAAGGGGCUGGGGUCAUCCCUGUGUCUGUUUGCUGUGGUGCAGCAGCAUCCAUACACCAGGGGCCUACCCUGUCCCUGUUCCUCAGUGCGACCUGAGAACUGGCUCAGGGCCUGAACCUGGACGAGGGAUCUUGACCUGUUUACUGGGGCAGCUGCCCUUGGCCUCAGUGUAGUUUUGGACUGUACCUUGGUCAGUUGCCCACCUCUUGAACCUCCGGGAGGCCAUAUUUUACUAACCACCUGCCCUGCUCUGUGGGUCCGGCCUCCUGGGUGGUGGCAGACCUUGUCAUGGUCCCUGGGUCCUGGCUGCUCAGAGUGACUGCGUGACCUCUGCUGCAGCCCCUGGGUAGUGGUGACGGGGGGGUGGAGGGUGUCAUCCGUCUCCUCCACCACGAGGCCCGUUGAGCCUGGCCUGUGUUGCACAGUGACUUCGCUCUGCUUGGUGGCCAGGCAGUAGGUGGCUAGCUAUUCCCAUGGUUCCUUGGUUCUCAUGCUGGUAGUGCUCUGGGUCCUGCCGCAGAUUGGAGUGGCCAGCUCCUGUGCUUCCUGGGACGGAGGGCACAUGUGGGGGAGGACUCUGGUCCUGUUUGUUCCCUUGGGGGUGGCG
rnacentral:lncRNA from 1 species